rnacentral:rRNA from 1 species
CCUACGGGGUGCUGCAGUGAGGAAUAUUGGUCAAUGGACGAGAGUCUGAACCAGCCAAGUAGCGUGAAGGAUGACUGCCCUAUGGGUUGUAAACUUCUUUUAUAUGGGACUCAAAUGUUCCACGUGUGGGAUUUUGUAUGUACCAUAUGAAUAAGGAUCGGCUAACUCCGUGCCAGCAGCCGCGGUAAUACGGAGGAUCCGAGCGUUAUCCGGAUUUAUUGGGUUUAAAGGGAGCGUAGGUGGAUUGUUAAGUCAGUUGUGAAAGUUUGCGGCUCAACCGUCAAAUUGCAGUUGAAACUGGCAGUCUUGAGUACAGUAGAGGUGGGCGGAAUUCGUGGUGUAGCGGUGAAAUGCUUAGAUAUCACGAAGAACUCCGAUUGCGAAGGCAGUUCACUGGACUGCAACUGACACUGAGGCUCGAAAGUGUGGGUAUCAAACAGGAUUAGAUACCCCGGUAGUC